rnacentral:rRNA from 1 species
GAUGAACGCUGGCGGCGUGCCUAAUACAUGCAAGUCGAGCGAACAGACGAGGAGCUUGCUCCUCUGACGUUAGCGGCGGACGGGUGAGUAACACGUGGAUAACCUACCUAUAAGACUGGGAUAACUUCGGGAAACCGGAGCUAAUACCGGAUAAUAUAUUGAACCGCAUGGUUCAAUAGUGAAAGACGGUUUUGCUGUCACUUAUAGAUGGAUCCGCGCCGCAUUAGCUAGUUGGUAAGGUAACGGCUUACCAAGGCAACGAUGCGUAGCCGACCUGAGAGGUUGAUCGGCCACACUGGAACUGGCACAGGGUCCAGCCUCCUACGGGAGGCACAUGUGGGCAAUUUUCCCAAAUGGCCGAAGCCUUACCGGAGAAACGCCACGUGGGUAAUGAAGGUCUUCGGUUCGUAAACCUUUGUUAUUAGGAAAGAAAAAAUGUGUAAAUAACUAUCCACGUCUUGACGGACCCUAAUCAAAAAGCCCCGGCUACCUCCGG